GAUGAAGAACGUAGCGAAAUGCGAUAUGUAAUGUGAAUUGCAGAAUUCAGUGAAUCAUCGAAUCUUUGAACGCACAUUGCGCCCGCCAGCACUCUGGCGGGCAUGCCUGUUCGAGCGUCAUUUCAACCAUCAAGCCCCCAGGGGCUUGUGCUGGGGCCCUGCGGCUGCCCGCAGGCCCUGAAAACCAGUGGCGGGCUCGCUAGUCACACCGAGCGCAGUAGCACAUCUCGCUCAGGGCGUGCGGCGGGCUCCUGCCGUGAAACCCCCCACUGUAACCCCAAAGGUUGACCUCGGAUCAGGUAGGAAUACCCGCUGAACUUAAGCAUAUCAAUAAGCGGAGGA
rnacentral:misc_RNA from 1 species